GACGGAGGAUGCAAGCGUUAUCCGGAAUGAUUGGGCGUAAAGCGUCUGCAGGUGGCAGUUCAAGUCUGCUGUCAAAGACCGGGGCUUAACUUCGGAAAGGCAGUGGAAACUGAACAGCUAGAGUAUGGUAGGGGCAGAGGGAAUUCCUGGUGUAGCGGUGGAAUGCGCAGAUAUCAGGAGGAACACCGGUGGCGAAGGCGGGAUCCUGGGCCAGUACUGACGCUGAGGAGCGAAAGCGUGGGGAGCAAACAGG
rnacentral:rRNA from 1 species